rnacentral:rRNA from 1 species
CAUGCAAGUCGAGCGGUACAGGGGGAGCUUGCUCCCCGCUGACGAGCGGCGGACGGGUGAGUAAUGCAUAGGAAACUGCCCAGUAGUGGGGGAUAGCCCGGGGAAACCCGGAUUAAUACCGCAUACGCCCUUUGGGGGAAAGCAGGGGAUCUUCGGACCUUGCGCUAUUGGAUGUGCCUAUGUCGGAUUAGCUAGUUGGUGGGGUAAGAGCCUACCAAGGCGACGAUCCGUAGCUGGUCUGAGAGGAUGAUCAGCCACAUCGGGACUGAGACACGGCCCGAACUCCUACGGGAGGCAGCAGUGGGGAAUAUUGGACAAUGGGGGCAACCCUGAUCCAGCCAUGCCGCGUGUGUGAAGAAGGCUUUCGGGUUGUAAAGCACUUUCAGUGAGGAGGAUAACCUUACGACUAAUACUCGUGAGGCUCUGCGUUACUCACAGAAUAAGCACCGGCUAACUCCGUGCCAGCUGCCGCGGUAAUACGGGAGGGUGCUAGCGU